ensembl:ncRNA H36N01.3 ncRNA
GACUUUUAUCUUUUGCAGCAGGCAAUUGAUAAAGACGCCUGGCAAUGUAUGAUGAAAUGAUCAAAGACUGUCAGUAUGUUGACAGUCAAAAGGAGCUUGAUUAUAUAGCGCAAUGGAGUGGGAAAGAUUUCGUGAGAGUACAAAGAA